rnacentral:rRNA from 1 species
GACGAACGCUGGCGGCGUGCUUAACACAUGCAAGUCGAACGGAAAGGCCCUGCUUGCAGGGUGCUCGAGUGGCGAACGGGUGAGUAACACGUGGGUGAUCUGCCCUGCACUUUGGGAUAAGCCUGGGAAACUGGGUCUAAUACCGGAUAUUCCUUGCUGGUUGCAUGGCUGGUGGGGGAAAGCUUUUGCGGUGUGGGAUGGGCCCGCGGCCUAUCAGCUUGUUGGUGGGGNGAUGGCUUACCAAGGCGACGACGGGUAGCCGGCCUGAGAGGGUGUCCGGGCCACACUGGGACUGAGAUACGGCCCAGACUCCUACGGGAGGCAGCAGUGGGGAAUAUUGCACAAUGGGCGCAAGCC